CACAGGGAGGGUUUGUCUUCUGCAGAGGCUCGAGGCUCAGGAGCCAGGGUGAUGUGCCAGGCUGGUGUUGUCCUGCAGCAGAUGUGGGGAUUUUUCCUGCUCUACGCUUCCCUGAUGGUGGGAGGUGCUGCAGGACAAAGUGUUGAGCAGCCCACUGAGCUGACGGCUGUGGAAGGAGCCUUCAUCCAGGUCAACUGCACGUACCGGACAUCUGGGUUCAACGGGCUGUCCUGGUACCAGCAACGUGACGGCAGAGCACCCCUGUUCCUCUCUUACAGUGUUCUGGAUGGUGUGGAGAGGAGAGGCCAUUUUUCUACAUUCCUUAGUCGGUCUGAUGGGUAUGGUUACCUCCUCCUGAGGGAGCUCCAGAUGAAAGACUCUGCCUCUUACCUGUGUGCUGUGAGAGACACAGUGACUAUGGGACCAAUAAGGCUGCAGCAAGAUUCAGGGGCCAAAGCAGUGAGAAGCUGUAUUUCCUGUGUAUGUCUGCUAUGA